AGCAGCGUGGCUCAGUGGAAAGAGCAUGGGCUUGGGAGCCGGAGGUCAUGGGUUCGAAUCCCAGCUCUGCCG
rfam:Ornithorhynchus anatinus chromosome X1, whole genome shotgun sequence.